UUCAAGGAUUUUUUUCACAAUAAGCUAGGCUACUCUGUCUCAUUGUCUUACAUGUUCUGCUUGUUUGGGUCUUCAACCACAUGAUGUUUGGUCCAGCUUUGCCAUUCAGGACAAUUGAGUCAAUAGGUUCAGAUAUCACACUAGGUUGCAAGUACUCAUUUGUGUUCAACCAGUCAACAUGUAUUCUUAAGUACCUAUGUUUAAGUACAUGGUAUGUAAACCUGCAUAGAACAUUUAAAUUGUUUAGUCUUGUGAAAUGUAUGUAAAUAUCUGUUAUUGCAUGGUAAGGCUCUUAUUGAUUGAGCUCUGUUUUGCACAGUUGGAAGAAAACAGCAACUUCUCAGAGGAACAAAAGGCAAAAAUUCUCUCGGUGACCCUCCCUUGGGAUCUCCCCGGUGUUACAGCAGAAAACAGAUGGUGGCUGACGGAGAAAAUUCUUCUUCACUCUGUACUGGGAAGAACAACUCAGCAGGUUAAACAAAUGAGGAGGGGUUUGAAAGACACCGGGGUCUGGGAUUUUUUUAGCUCCAGGCCAGACGCCAUCCCAGUCUUGUUCCCCAGGACCAGUGAUGUGAUGUUAACACCACAGGUAAUCCUAAUAUGCAAUUUAAGCUACAGCAUCAUUAUUAGAAAGUAAAAUAUUUAAAAGCUAAACAUGUAACUAUUCAAUGUGCAAUUAUAAAUUGUUUAAUAUAUUUGCAUAUAUAUGUAUACAGUCUCAAGGAAAAAAUAAGCAAACCAUUUUCAAUUUGCAGGUAUUCUGCUUAAAUUGGUCAUGAAAUGUGAUCUGGGGCUGUAUUCACAAAACAUUUAAUCUUACCACUAAAAGUAUUCCUAAAUGGCAACAAAAGUUUAAUGUUACUUUUUUUUUUUUUUACGGAUGAUGUCAACACGUUUACUAACUAUGCCCGCAGUGAUUGGCUGAUGGGAGUCUUUACUUUACAAAGCUACCGUUUCCAAACUUUUGAUCGGUAUGAUUAAUAGUGAGAUAUGUGUGUGUAAACAUUUAUUUAUUCUAGAUGAUUCUGGACAAGAUUGUCUGGCCAAGGGAUGAGGAUGUUGAUGAGGAUAUACUCAGCUUGGAGGAACAACAAAAAGCACUA
ensembl:lncRNA